rnacentral:rRNA from 1 species
AGUGAACGCUGGCGGUAGGCCUAACACAUGCAAGUCGAACGGCAGCACAGUAAGAGCUUGCUCUUACGGGUGGCGAGUGGCGGACGGGUGAGGAAUACAUCGGAAUCUACUUUUUCGUGGGGGAUAACGUAGGGAAACUUACGCUAAUACCGCAUACGACCUACGGGUGAAAGCAGGGGAUCUUCGGACCUUGCGCGAUUGAAUGAGCCGAUGUCGGAUUAGCUAGUUGGCGGGGUAAAGGCCCACCAAGGCGACGAUCCGUAGCUGGUCUGAGAGGAUGAUCAGCCACACUGGAACUGAGACACGGUCAAGACUCCUAAGGGAGGCAGCAGUGGGGAAUAUUGGACAAUGGGCGCAAGCCUGAUCCAGCCAUACCGCGUGGGUGAAGGAGGCCUUCGGGUUGUAAAGCCCUUUUGUUGGGAAAGAAAAGCAGCAGGUUAAUACCCCGCUGUUCUGACGGUACCCAAAGAAUAAGCACCGGCUAACUUCGUG